UGGAUCAUUGAUGACCAUAAAAGAUGUAGGAGUCGUCUGAGACAUGCAUGAUGACCAUAAUAUUGCCAGUCUGAGAUCCAC
rfam:Rattus norvegicus chromosome 2, whole genome shotgun sequence.